CCCACUUACAAGUGAGAACACGCAAUAAUUGGUCUUCUUCUCUUCCUUCAUUAGGUUGCUGAGAAUAAUGGCUUCCAGCUCCAUCCAUGUCCCUGCAAAGGACGUGAUAUCAUUCUUUUUAUGGAUGCAUAGUAUUCCAUGUUUUCACAUCAUCUGUCCCCUUUAUCAGGACUAUCUUCUAAGGCCAAGGAACAAAAAUAAAUGAGGGCAGAGUAUUCCUCAGAUUAGAAGAAAAUAGCUUUGCCAAGUUGAUCUACUUUGGGACAGAGGAUGAGGAACUACAGCCCAUGGGCCAAAUGUCACUCUGACCCAUCCAUUGUUUUUGUCAAUAAAGUUUUAUUGGAAUACAGCCUCAUUCAUUCAUUUACAUAUUAUCUAUGACUGUUUUCUCUAUAAUGGCAGAGUGGAGCAGGAAGGACAGUGGCUCAGUAUCCAGUAAAGAUGAAAAUAUUUACUAUUUCUGUCUUUAUCAAAAAAGAAGGAAAGAAAGAAUGAAAGAAAGGAAGGAAGGAAAGGGAAGGGAAGGAAGGAAGGAAGGAAGGGGAAGAAAGAAAGAAAGGAAGGAAAGAAAGAAAGAAAGAAAGAAAGAAAGAAAGAAAGAAAGAAAGAAAGAAAGAAAGAAGAAAGAAAGAGAGAAAGAAAGAAAGAAAGAAAGAAAGAAAGAAAGAAAGAAAGAAAGAAAGAAAGAAAGAAAGAAAAAAAGAUAAAGACAAUGGCCAACCUCUGAUUUACAAUGUGUUUGCUAUUUUGUCAAGAGAUGAUUUACACAUCCUAUUUUCUUUUCCGGAUCUCCAAGAUGAAGUGGUGUACAAUUGCAAGAAUGACUAAAAGAAGGAGGAGCAUAUACUCUGCAGUUCUAACAGUCUGGGGACCACCUUUUACUAAAUUCCUUCCAUCCUUCUUUAUAAUAGUGAUUGAUGUUAUGUGGCAGGCAGUGGAGAAAUGUAACUGGUUUUCAACU
rnacentral:lncRNA from 1 species